rnacentral:rRNA from 1 species
GUGGAUUAGAUACCCGGGUUGUCCACGCUGUAAACGAUGGAUACUAGGUGUGGGAGGUAUCGACCCCUUCCGUGCCGCAGUUAACACAAUAAGUAUCCCGCCUGGGGAGUACGGCCGCAAGGUUGAAACUCAAAGGAAUUGACGGGGGCCCGCACAAGCAGCGGAGCAUGUGGUUUAAUUCGAAGCAACGCGAAGAACCUUACCAGAACUUGACAUCCCUUGCAUUACUCGUAACGGAGGAAAUCCUUCGGGACAAGGAGACAGGUGGUGCACGGUCGUCGUCAGCU